UACGAAGGGGGCUAGCGUUGCUCGGAAUCACUGGGCGUAAAGCGCACGUAGGCGGCUUUCUAAGUCAGGGGUGAAAUCCUGGAGCUCAACUCCAGAACUGCCUUUGAUACUGGAGAGCUCGAGUCCGGAAGAGGUGAGUGGAACUCCUAGUGUAGCGGUGAAAUGCGCAGAUAUCAGGAGGAACACCAAUGGCGAAGACAGCACUCUGGGACGUGACUGACGCUGAGACGCGAAAGCGUGGGGAGCAAACAGG
rnacentral:rRNA from 1 species